rnacentral:lncRNA from 1 species
AGUCCCACAAUAAUUUUGAUCACCAAGAAUUACAAAACUGAUUUUAAACCCCAAAAAACCAAAUACUCAAUCAAAAGGAUCAAUUAAGAGCACAUAACCCUAAUUCUAGCACAAGCAAUGGUUGCCAAGCAAUGACAACCCCCAACCUAUUGUCACCCCACACGGUGACGCGCUAAUGCUGAAAAAUUAACGGGUUAAGCCAAUUUACCAGAGCGGACGUGUCUGAGUCCGUAUUAUCGAGAGAGAUGCGAAUCUACUGCUUUAGGACCGCAAUCUUGG